AGAAAUUUAGGUUAUCUUAGACCAAGAGCCUUCAAAGCCCUAAGAAAGUCACAAGACUUAAUUUCUG
rnacentral:tRNA from 1 species